UAUGGUUCCACGUGUCGGCAAGGUCGGUUAUAAUGAUGCACUUUUUUGUGUUUCAGAGGCUUCUUGCAAAACUACAGGCAGUAGUGACCCGCCGUCUAUAGGCUAGGCUACUUUUUAUUCGUUUAUUUACUGGAAUCUCAGUAGCGCCAUUUAUCCCGUGUUUUUGUUUGUUUGUCUGUUGUUUUGCUCGCCGAGGAAAUCUCUUUUCCCCUUUGCUUUAUUUGCCGCGUCACAAGGGAAUGGAAAAAACAAAAAACCAUUUUGAACAGCAAAAACAAGUUCGAGGAAACUGCAGGCCGGCUGAUCCUGGAGUUUGAGCUGACCCACAACGAUCACCCUGUUGCUGCCAGGUCGAAUCACCAUCCUCAGACGCCCUUAUCGUAGACGCCCCGUACAGCCGAGUGUGGGACCUGCCCGAGUGCAGCAGCCGGUGCAGACGCCGCAGUCGGCUGUGAUUUCCACCUGCUCCGUGACGUUGGUGUCGCCCGCUUCUGUUCCAGCUCCUCACCUUCAGCUGCAGGAAGGAAGUAAAGCUAUGUAACUUUCAAAGGAGAGAAAACUCACCGGGACGCCCUAGUGAGAAGACUUCCAGGGUUACCCUUCUCGCCCAAGGAUGUUUACUUUUGAGGCCUGUGGAGCAGAGAGUGGGGGAGAGAGAAAACAGAUUCACUCCUAUGGUCACGCAGGGCAAGUUUGCCCUGUCUCUUUAUAUUGUCUGUUUCCCAAAGGUGAUAAUCUAAGAACUAGACAUCCCGCACUGGUAUACCCACCAGUCCUGAUACCGCUCACUGGUAUACCCACCAAUCCUGAUAGUGCUCACUGGUAUACCCACCAAUCCUGAUAGUGCUCACUGGUAUACCCACUAGUCCUGAUACUGCUCACUGGUAUACCCACCAAU